rnacentral:rRNA from 1 species
GUCGAGAAUCUUUCACAAUGGGGGCAACCCUGAUGGAGCGACGCCGCGUGGAGGAUAAGGUCUUCGGAUUGUAAACUCCUGUCAUGCGUGAACAAGGUUGCUUGGUUAAUACCUGGGCAAAUUGAUGGUAACGCAAGAGGAGGAGACGGCUAACUCUGUGCCAGCAGCCGCGGUAAUACAGAGGUCUCAAGCGUUGUUCGGAAUCACUGGGCGUAAAGGGUGCGUAGGUGGCGUGGUAAGUCAGAUGUGAAAGCCCGGGGCUCAACCUCGGAACUGCAUCCGAUACUGCCAUGCUAGAGUACUGGAGAGGUGACUAGAAUUCUCGGUGUAGCAGUGAAAUGCGUAGAUAUCGAGAGGAAUACCAAAGGCGUAGGCAGGUCACUGGACAGUUACUGACACUGAGGCACGAAGGCCAGGGGAGCGAACGGGAUUAGAUACCCCUGUAGUCC